UACAGAGGGUGCGAGCGUUGUCCGGAAUCACUGGGCGUAAAGGGCGCGUAGGCGGCCUGAUAAGUAGGGGGUGAAAUCCUGCGGCUCAACCGCAGGGCUGCCUUCUAAACUGCCAGGCUGGAGCACGGUAGAGGCAGAUGGAAUUCCCGGUGUAGCGGUGGAAUGCGUAGAGAUCGGGAAGAACACCAGCGGCGAAGGCGGUCUGCUGGGCCGUUGCUGACGCUGAGGCGCGACAGCGUGGGGAGCAAACAGG
rnacentral:rRNA from 1 species